AGUGGUAGAAUACUAGCCUUGAGCAAAAGAAGCCCAGGGACAGCACCCCGGCCCUGAGUUCAAGCCCCACGACUGACAAAAAGAAAAAGAUAAAGAAUGGAACGCCCUUUUUGAUACCUGGCAGAUGGGUGCUUGAGGACUUGUUUGUAGUAGGGGUCUAAUUCUGAAACAUCUGUGAAAGUUUGUGCUGAUUUUUCAUUGAACUUUGGGAUUUAGUUAUGGUACUCUCCCCCCCCCCCCCCCGCCAAUCUUUUUACCUGAAUCAAUGAGUAUUUGAGAUUUGGGGAAUUAAAUACUUGGUAGGCUGUUCAGCCCAGGAAACCCUGUCCCUUGCCAGGUGUGAGAUUUUGUGUCACUUGUGACUUUUCAGCAUUCAUUCUCUUUGCAAGC